rnacentral:rRNA from 1 species
GACGAACGCUGGCGGCGUGCCUAAUACAUGCAAGUCGAACGCAGUGGUGAAGGGUGAGUAACACGUGGGUAACCUCCCAUCAGAGGGGAUAACACUUGGAAACAGGUGCUAAACCGAUACUGAUGGAUGGACCCGCGGUUUAUUAGCUAGGUGGUGAGGUAACGGCUCACCAAGGCCACGAUGCAUAUCCGACCGGAGAGGGUGGUCGGACACACUGGUACGGAGACACGGCCCAGACGACUACGGGAGGCAGCAGUAGAGAAUCUUCGGAAAUGGACGAAAGUCUGACCGAGCAACGCCGAGUGAGUGAAGAAGGUUUUGGGAUCGUAAAACUCUGUUGUGAGAGAAGCGGUAUCUAACCAGAAAGCCACGGCUAACUACGUGCCAGCAGCCGCGGUAAUAC